UAAUAUAUAGCUUAAAAAGCAUUUCAAUUUCGGCUUGAAAAAAGGUAUAAUACCAUAUAUUAA
rnacentral:tRNA from 1 species